CCUCCGCGCACAUUCUGCAGGAUUCCCAAAGGCCAGGUCCCCAGCUUAGCUCAGUGGGAGCCCAUCAAUUGCCAGGGCAAUCCAACUUUAACAAAUUCCUUCAAAACCCUGGUUUCAGGAAAUCAUUCCAAUCUAAUCCAGAUAAAUAUACUGAGCACUCACGAUUCACGUCAACGAAUUACACACAGCAAUGGUGAUCCAGAGAUAGACCCCCACCCCCACUGGCCAUCAGCAAAAAAAUAACCCAGAUGAGGAGCCCCACACUUUCUCAUCCCUGGCAUCUCCACUCUGAAGGCCCCUCCUGAUCCACUCUAGAAGAGGAGGCUAGCUGGGAAUAAAAUGUGAUGGUCUCCUGAAAAGAAUCAA